rnacentral:rRNA from 1 species
AAUAGAUACCCCGGUAGUCCACGCCGUAAACGAUGAGUGCUAAGUGUUAGGGGGGUUUCCACCCCUUAGUGCUGUAGCUAACGCAUUAAGCACUCCGCCUGGGGAGUACGGUCGCAAGACUGAAACUCAAAGGAAUUGACGGGGGCCCGCACAAGCGGUGGAGCAUGUGGUUUAAUUCGAAGCAACGCGAAGAACCUUACCAGGUCUUGACAUCCCGGUGACCGCUCUAGAGAUAGAGCUUUCCCUUCGGGGACAGCGGUGACAGGUGGUGCAUGGUUGUCGUCAGCUCGUGUCGUGAGAUGUUGGGUUAAGUCCCGCAACGAGCGCAACCCUUGUUCUUAGUUGCCAUCAUUCAGUUGGGCACUCUAAGGAGACUGCCGCAGACAAUGCGGAGAAGGUGGGGAUGACGUCAAAUCAUCAUGCCCCUUAUGACCUGGGCUACACACGUGCUACAAUGGACGGUACAAACGGUUGCCAAGUCGCGAGACGGAGCUAAUCCGAGAAAACCGUUCUCGAAGUUCGGAUUAGCAGGCUGACC